UACCCGCUGAACUAAGCAUAUCAAUAAGCGGAGGAAAAGAAACCAACAGGGAUUGCCCUAGUAACGGCGAGGAAGCGGCAACAGCUCAAAUUAAAAUCUGGCUUUCGGGCCCGAGUUGUAAUUUGUAGAGGAUACUUUUGAUGCGGUGCCUUCCGAGUUCCCUGGAACGGGACGCCAUAGAGGGUGAGAGCCCCGUCUGGUUGGAUGCCAAAUCUCUGUAAAGUUCCUUCGACGAGUCGAGUAGUUUGGGAAUGCUGCUCUAAAUGGGAGGUAUAUGUCUUCUAAAGCUAAAUAUUGGCCAGAGACCGAUAGCGCACAAGUAGAGUGAUCGAAAGAAGAAAAGCACUUUGAAAAGAGAGUUAAAAAGUACGUGAAAUUGUUGAAAGGGAAGCGUUUAUGACCAGACUUGGACUUGGUUAAUCAUCUGGGGUUCUCCCCAGUGCACUUUUCCAGUUCAGGCCAGCAUCAGUUUUCGCCGGGGGAUAAAGGCUUCGGGAAUGUAGCUCUCUUCGGGGAGUGUUAUAGCCCGUUGUGUAAUACCCUGGCGGAGACUGAGGUUCGCG
rnacentral:rRNA from 1 species